CCUGCCCCUAGAGCCAUUGCAGGUGUGGCUAUUGUGUAACAUGUACUGACCAGUAUGUGGCAGAGAGGAGAGAGGCUAUGCCUAGGCUCAGUGUUCUAAUCUAUGAGCAUUGGAAUGAUUAGUAUCCUAACAUU